rnacentral:rRNA from 1 species
UACGGAGGAUGCAAGCGUUAUCCGGAUUCAUUGGGUUUAAAGGGUGCGUAGGCGGACUUAUAAGUCAGUGGUGAAAACCUGCAGCUUAACUGUAGACGUGCCAUUGAUACUGUUAGUCUUGAGUAUGGUCAAGGUAGGCGGAAUGUGUAAUGUAGCGGUGAAAUGCUUAGAUAUUACACAGAACACCGAUUGCGAAGGCAGCUUACUGGGCCAUUACUGACGCUGAUGCACGAAAGCGUGGGGAGCGAACAGG